rnacentral:rRNA from 1 species
CGUAGGUGGCAAGCGUUGUCCGGAAUUAUUGGGCGUAAAGCGCGCGCAGGCGGGAUAUCAAGUCUGUACUUAAAAGUUCGGGGCUCAACCCCGUGAUGGGAUGGAAACUGGUAUUCUUGAGUGUCGGAGAGGAAAGUGGAAUUCCCAGUGUAGCGGUGAAAUGCGUAGAUAUUGGGAGGAACACCAGUGGCGAAGGCGACUUUCUGGACGAUGUCUGACGCUGAGGCGCGAAAGCCAGGGAAGUGAACGGGAUUAGAUACCCCGGUAAUCCUGGCCGUAAACGAUGGGUACUAGGUGUAGAGGGUAUCGACCCCUUCUGUGCCGGAGUUAACGCAAUAAGUACCCCGCCUGGGGAGUACGGCCGCAAGGUUG